UACAUGCAAGUCGAACGCACUCUCGUUUAGAUUGAAGGAGCUUGCUCUGAUUGAUAAACAUUUGAGUGAGUGGCGGACGGGUGAGUAACACGUGGGUAACCUGCCUAAGUGGGGAUAACAUUUGGAAACAGAUGCUAAUACCGCAUAAAACCCAACACCGCAUGGUGUAGGGUUGAAAGAUGGUUUCGGCUAUCACUUUAGGAUGGACCCGCGGUGCAUUAGUUAGUUGGUGAGGUAAAGGCUCACCAAGACCGUGAUGCAUAGCCGACCUGAGAGGGUAAUCGGCCACACUGGGACUGAGACACGGCCCAGACUCCUACGGGAGGCAGCAGUAGGGAAUCUUCCACAAUGGACGAAAGUCUGAUGGAGCAACGCCGCGUGAGUGAAGAAGGUUUUCGGAUCGUAAAACUCUGUUGUUGGAGAAGAAUGUAUCUGAUAGUAACUGAUCAGGUAGUGACGGUAUCCAACCAGAAAGCCACGGCUAACUACGUG
rnacentral:rRNA from 1 species